rnacentral:rRNA from 1 species
ACGAACAAGUUGGAAACGACUGCUAAUACCGCAUACGAUCUAAUCUCGGCAUCGAGGAUAGAUGAAAGGUGGCCUCUACAUGUAAGCUAUCACUGAAGGAGGGGAUUGCGUCUGAUUAGCUAGUUGGAGGGGUAACGGCCCACCAAGGCGAUGAUCAGUAGCCGGUCUGAGAGGAUGAACGGCCACAUUGGGACUGAGACACGGCCCAG